GCUUCCUGAUUUAUGCACAUGUUCCUGUGUUCUUCAGAGAAAAGAAGGAAGAUGCCUAACUCUAAAAAUUUUGAAAUAAUGACGUGGGACAUGAUUUUGGCUCUGGCCUUGAGAACAUCGGGGAAGGAUCAAAGAUUCUGUUCUAACUGGAGAAAAAAGCAGCCCUUUGCUCACAUUAGGAAGAUUUUUGACCCUCUUAGAAAAGUGAUAACACUGCUCUUUUUUUCCAUGCUGCCUCUUCUUGUACCUUUGAUACUUAUAAACUUACACCCAGGCUGCUGAACUCUGGGACAGUAGAAUAACACUAGGGAAGCUUGUAUCUUCCCAGGCUUGAGGGACUGCAAUCUGCCAAAGAGGGUCACUUCAAGACGGAAGGUCGGACAAAUGCAGAAGAACUCAGUUUGAAUGCAUACAUUAUCAUGGAAGGCAUGAUAGAGAGUGAAAAGGGUAGGCAGCAUCUGAACUGCCCACACCCCCUGCCCCAAAUUCUCCACACAGUUUGGAACUGUGAAUGAUGUUACUUUCUUUGAAACUGUGGGAUCUUUUAAAAAGUAUAUUUAGAAACAUGAUCUUGUACUAACAUUGGACACAAGGAGAGAAGCUGGUAGAAAGAAGGCUGUGACUCAAACAACUUGUGACUGGAAAUAAUCUUAAAUUUACGUACAUGGAAUCCACCCAUAAACUUCACCAAUAAGAUGAUGUUGGGGGAGUGGAAUGGAGCUCACAGAAAUAUCCCCUGAAAAAUCCUAGAAGUAUUCACUCUCUGCAUUUCCAUCCUAACAUCCUUUCCUGAUUGCCACACGACGCAAAGGGCAAGCUCCCACACUGCCUUCCGGUCAGGGAAUGAAAGGUCUUGAGGAGCAGUGUUAGACAUCGUACCAUCUUCACAAUUAGCACAGUCUCUGCACUUCAGGGAGAUUUAAUACCUAUUCACGGAACCAAAAGAAAAAGAAAGAGAAAAUGACACUGUUCCACUUGCUUUCAGUCUCUCAAUCCUAAGCUUUUCACUACAAGACAAUUUUUGUAACAGAUUUGUUCUUCAGAAUUUGCCAUCUCUUUUCUAUUAUACACAUGCAAAGUAAGACUAGAUAUUAUUCUUUUCCCAUUUUUGCUGUCCCCCUCAUCCACCUUCAUUAGGUUUAAAUUAAGAAUGGCCCUAUGGGGAAAUGCCCUCAUUUUGCUGUCUUUCAUUACUCCAUUUCUAUUCUUUCUCAACUUAAUAACUCAGUUCUUCAGUUUCUAUGUAUUCCAGUGAAAUAACUUGGUUGUUGCCUGCACGUGA
rnacentral:lncRNA from 1 species